UACGUAGGGGGCAAGCGUUGUCCGGAUUUAUUGGGCGUAAAGAGCGUGUAGGCGGCCAGACAGGUCAGCUGUGAAAACUCGAGGCUCAACCUCGAGACGUCGGUUGAAACCGUCUGGCUAGAGUCCGGAAGAGGAGAGUGGAAUUCCCGGUGUAGCGGUGAAAUGCGCAGAUAUCGGGAAGAACACCCGUGGCGAAGGCGGCUCUCUGGGACGGUAGUGACGCUGAGACGCGAAAGCGUGGGGAGCGAACAGG
rnacentral:rRNA from 1 species